GAUGAACGCUGGCGGCGUGCCUAAUACAUGCCAGUCGAGCGAACGGACGAGAAGCUUGCUUCUCUGAUGUUAGCGGCGGACGGGUGAGUAACACGUGGAUAACCUACCUAUAAGACUGGGAUAACUUCGGGAAACCGGAGCUAAUACCGGAUAAUAUUUUGAACCGCAUGGUUAAAAAGUGAAAGACGGUCUUGCUGUCACUUAUAGAUGGAUCCGCGCUGCAUUAGCUAGUUGGUAAGGUAACGGCUUACCAAGGCAACGAUGCAUAGCCGACCUGAGAGGGUGAUCGGCCACACUGGAACUGAGACACGGUCCAGACUCCUACGGGAGGCAGCAGUAGGGAAUCUUCCGCAAUGGGCGAAAGCCUGACGGAGCAACGCCGCGUGAGUGAUGAAGGUCUUCGGAUCGUAAAACUCUGUUAUUAGGGAAGAACAUAUGUGUAAGUAACUGUGCACAUCUUGACGGUACCUAAUCAGAAAGCCACGGCUAACUACGUG
rnacentral:rRNA from 1 species